ensembl:ncRNA K02A4.11 ncRNA
CAUCGCUCAGAUAGACGAGAAGCACCGAGAAACAUAGAGAGCGAUAGAUGUUUUCUACUAAGGCAACGUCCCUUGCGCCUACAAACCACCGCCACACAGCCCCCUUUUUCUACUCCUCCUACUUCUUCACACUCUAUUGAUAUAUGGCGCCAGUUCGCCAGUCCAAAUGUACUGCCUCCAUCGGCAUAGCAGCUGGACAUUGUGUCCUGUCCCCUUUUCCACACGUGAAGCCUCAACUUCCUGCCUGGGCCUUCUUUACUAAUCUUGUUUC